rnacentral:rRNA from 1 species
GAUGAACGCUGACAGAAUGCUUAACACAUGCAAGUCUACUUGAUUCUACUUCGGUAGUUGAUGGUGGCGGACGGGUGAGUAACGCGUAAAGAAUCUGCCCUUUAGUUUGGGAUAACCUUUGGAAACGAAGGCUAAUACCGGAUAUUAUGGAGACGUCGCAUGACGACUCCAUGAAAGCUAUAUGCGCUAGAGGAGGACUUUGCGUCCCAUUAGUUAGUUGGUGAGGUAAUGGCUCACCAAGACCGCGAUGGGUAGCCGGCCUGAGAGGGUGGUCGGCCACAAGGGAACUGAGACCCGGUCCUUACUCCUACGGGAGGCAGCAGUGGGGAAUAUUGGACAAUGGGCCACAAGCCUGAUCCAGCAAUUCUGUGUGCACGAUGAAGGUCUUCGGAUUGUAAAGUGCUUUCAGUAGGGAAGAAAAAAAUGACGGUACCUACAGAAGAAGCGACGGCUAAAUAUGUGCCAGCCGCCGCCGUAA